rnacentral:rRNA from 1 species
CAGCAGUAGCCACGGGAAUACGGAGGGUGCAAGCGUUAAUCGGAAUUACUGGGCGUAAAGCGCACGCAGGCGGUCUGACAAGUCAGAUGUGAAAUCCCCGGGCUUAACCUGGGAACUGCAUUUGAAACUGUCAGGCUGGAGUCUUGUAGAGGGGGGUGGAAUUCCAGGUGUAGCGGUGAAAUGCGUAGAGAUCUGGAGGAAUACCGGUGGCGAAGGCGGCCCCCUGGACAAAGACUGACGCUCAGGUGCGAAAGCGUGGGGAGCAAACAGGAUUAGAUACCCGUGUAGUCCCUGUCUCUUAUAC